UCCCAAGGCUAAAUACUCCCUAGUGACCGAUAGUGAACCAGUACCGUGAGGGAAAGGUGAAAAGCACCCCGGAAGGGGAGUGAAACAGUUCCUGAAACCGUGUGCCUACAAGUAGUUAGAGCCCGUUAAUGGGUGAUAGCGUGCCUUUUGUAGAAUGAACCGGCGAGUUACGAUUUGUUGCAAGGUUAAGCGGAAAAAGCGGAGCCGUAGCGAAAGCGAGUCUGAAUAGGGCGCAUAAGUAACAGGUCGUAGACCCGAAACCAGGUGAUCUACCCAUGUCCAGGAUGAAGGUAAGGUAAUACUUACUGGAGGUCCGAACCCACGCACGUUGAAAAGUGCGGGGAUGAGGUGUGGGUAGCGGAGAAAUUCCAAUCGAACUUGGAGAUAGCUGGUUCUCUCCGAAAUAGCUUUAGGGCUAGCCUCGAGGUAAAGAGUCAUGGAGGUAGAGCACUGUUUGGACUAGGGGCCCUUCUCGGGUUACCGAAUUCAGAUAAACUCCGAAUGCCAUGUACUUAUACUCGGGAGUCAGACUGCGAGUGAUAAGAUCCGUAGUCGAAAGGGAAACAGCCCAGACCACCAGUUAAGGUCCCCAAAUAUAUGUUAAGUGGAAAAGGAUGUGGGGUUGCUUAGACAACCAGGAUGUUGGCUUAGAAGCAGCCACCAUUGAAAGAGUGCGUAAUAGCUCACUGGUCGAGUGACCCCGCGCCGAAAAUGUACCGGGGCUAAACAUAUUACCGAAACUGUGGAUGAACCUCUUUAGAGGUUCGUGGUAGGAGAGCGUUCUAAGGGCGGUGAAGUCAGACCGGAAGGACUGGUGGAGCGCUUAGAAGUGAGAAUGCCGGUAUGAGUAGCGAAAGAAGGGUGAGAAUCCCUUCCACCGAAUAUCUAAGGUUUCCUGAGGAAGGCUCGUCCGCUCAGGGUUAGUCGGGACCUAAGCCGAGGCCGAUAGGCGUAGGCGAUGGACAACAGGUAGAGAUUCCUGUACCAGUGCUAAUUGUUUAACCGAUGGGGUGACACAGAAGGAUAGGGAAUCGCACGAAUGGAAAUGUGCGUCCAAGCAGUGAGUGUGAGAAGUAGGCAAAUCCGCUUCUCGCGAAGCAUGAGCUGUGAUGGGGAAGGAAAUUAAGUACGGAAGUUCCUGAUUUCACGCUGUCAAGAAAAGCCUCUAGGAAGAGUAGUACUGCCCGUACCGCAAACCGACACAGGUAGAUGAGGAGAGAAUCCUAAGGUGAGCGAGAGAACUCUCGUUAAGGAACUCGGCAAAAUGACCCCGUAACUUCGGGAGAAGGGGUGCUCUAUUAGGGUGCAAGCCCGAGAGAGCCGCAGUGAAUAGGCCCAGGCGACUGUUUAGCAAAAACACAGGUCUCUGCAAAACCGUAAGGUGACGUAUAGGGGCUGACGCCUGCCCGGUGCUGGAAGGUUAAGAGGAGUGCUUAGCUUCGGCGAAGGUACGAAUUGAAGCCCCAGUAAACGGCGGCCGUAACUAUAACGGUCCUAAGGUAGCGAAAUUCCUUGUCGGGUAAGUUCCGACCCGCACGAAAGGCGCAACGAUCUGGGCACUGUCUCAACGAGAGACUCGGUGAAAUUAUAGUACCUGUGAAGAUGCAGGUUACCCGCGACAGGACGGAAAGACCCCGUGGAGCUUUACUGCAACCUGAUAUGGAAUGUUUGUACCGCUUGUACAGGAUAGGUAGGAGCCGAAGAGACGUGUGCGCUAGCAUACGAGGAGGCAAUGGUGGGAUACUACCCUGGCUGUAUGACCAUUCUAACCCGCCACGCUUAGCGCGUGGGGAGACAGUGUCAGGUGGGCAGUUUGACUGGGGCGGUCGCCUCCUAAAGAGUAACGGAGGCGCCCAAAGGUUCCCUC
rnacentral:rRNA from 1 species